GCCGCGCCGACCGAUAUCUUCACUCUCGUCUCCCAGUCCAGUGCUGCUCUUCCAGCAGAUUUGUUCCCUGUGUAUUAUUUACAAUUGAUGCACAUUAUGGCCAAGGCUCGAAAGGCAGCAUAUAAGGAAUGUAUAGUACUCCCUCCGUCAUGGUUUAGAAGGCACACAUGAGCAAUCUCUGGGACCAAGUUUUGACAGGCAUAGCAGCAAUGGUGAGUGGAAGCAGGAAAUAAAUGAAGAUUAAUGCAUCGAAGCUAAAAAUGGCAUCAGUUAAUCUACAGGGUGUGUGUGUUCAGCUCCUGAAUUUAACACAUUUUAAAAGGAAACCCAGAAUUAGUAGCACCGGGAAAAGAUACUCCCUCCGUAAACUAGUAAUAUAAGAGCGUUUAGAUCAUUAAAAUAGUGAUCUAAACACUUUUAUAUUAGUUUAAAAAUGGAGUACAUUCUAGUAUCUUUGCUUUUACUUUCUUUUUAUUUAAAUUUAAAUGAAAAAAAAGGUGCGCAAGAAACGACCGACCGCUGAGCCAUGCUCCACGAAAUCGUGCGAUUAGCCGGGACAGAAACGAGAGGAAAAGAAGUGCAUUGUACUGGGAAGAGGCACGAGGUCCAUCCAU